CCUAUAAGACUGGGAUAACUUCGGGAAACCGGAGCUAAUACCGGAUAAUAUUNUGAACCGCAUGGUUCGAUAGUGAAAGAUGGUUUUGCUAUCACUUGUAGAUGGACCUGCGCCGUAUUAGCUAGUUGGUAAGGUAACGGCUUACCAAGGCGACGAUACGUAGCCGACCUGAGAGGGUGAUCGGCCACACUGGAACUGAGACACGGUCCAGACUNCUACGGGAGGCAGCAGUAGGGAAUCUUCCGCAAUGGGCGAAAGCUGACGGAGCAACGCCGCGUGAGUGAUGAAGGUCUUCGGAUCGUAAAACUCUGUUAUUAGGGAAGAACAUACGUGUAAGUAACUGUGCACGUCUUGACGGUACCUAAUCAGAAAGCCACGGCUAACUACGUGCCAGCAGCCGCGGUAAUACGUAGGUGGCAAGCGUUAUCCGGAAUUAUUGGGCGUAAAGCGCGCGUAGGCGGUUUUUUAAGUCUGAUGUGAAAGCCNACGGCUCAACCGUGGAGGGUCAUUGGAAACUGGAAAACUUGAGUGCA
rnacentral:rRNA from 1 species